CGGAACGGGUGAGUAAUAUAUCGGAACGUAUCCAAUAAGGGGGGAUAACUAGUCGAAAGAUUAGCUAAUACCGCAUACGCCCUGAGGGGGAAAGCUGGGGAUCUUCGGACCUAGCGUUAAUGGAGCGGCCGAUAUCUGAUUAGCUAGUAGGUGAGGUAAGAGCUCACCUAGGCGACGAUCAGUAGCUGGUCUGAGAGGACGACCAGCCACACUGGAACUGAGACACGGUCCAG
rnacentral:rRNA from 1 species